AGGAAGGAACGGGGCAGUGAAAAUCGAGUCGGGUGUGAUCCUAGGCCAAGCUCAUGGCCCAGCAGGGCCAGCAGGGGCAGAUGGCAAGUGGAGACAGCAAUCUCAACUUCAGGAUGGUCGCAGAGAUCCAGAACGUAGAGGGUCAGAUGCAGGAGCAGGUUUGCCCUGAGCCCAUUUUCAGGUUCUUCAGAGAAAACAAGGUGGAGAUUGCAAGUGCAAUAACAAGGCCAUUUCCUUUCCUUAUGGGCCUCCGAGACCGCUCCUUCAUCUCCGAGCAGAUGUAUGAAGUAAGUAAGAAUUUCCAAAUGAUGAUAAACCAGGUCCAUACUCAAUUAUGCCAAACUUCAAGAUGCAAUGAGCAGGCUAAAGGGCCUCCUGUAAGUGGGGACCUUCACCAUUCUGUAGGUUAGGAGGUGACAGGAGAAGCAGGCAUCACAGAAAACCUCCCUUCUUCUGUAGUAAAUGUUGGGGGAGGGCCACAGUGAGGGAGGUGGGGCAGGAGAGAGAAUGGGAAUGCUGUAUGGGUGCAGAUCAUCCUAGGUACAUGUAAACAAUCUACUAAUGGUAGCCAUAAUUAAAAUAAAUAAGUGACCUAGGCAGCAUUUUAUUCCAAAGCCUACUUAUCUGAAACACUUGAAACU
rnacentral:sRNA from 1 species